UACGUAGGCAGCGAGCGUUGUUCGGAAUUACUGGGCGUAAAGAGUGUGUAGGCGGUGCUCUAAGUUCGGUGUGAAAUCUCCUGGCUUAACUGGGAGGGUGCGCCGGAAACUGGAGUGCUCGAACGUGGGAGAGGAAAGCGGAAUUCCUGGUGUAGCGGUGAAAUGCGUAGAUAUCGGGAGGAACACCUGUGGCGAAAGCGGCGCACUGGACCACAACUGACGCUGAGGCGCGAAAGCUAGGGGAGCAAACAGG
rnacentral:rRNA from 1 species